ACGUAGGAUUCAAGCGUUAUCCGAAUUUACUGGGCGUAAAGCGCGUGUAGGCGGUGCGGUAAGUUGGACGUGAAAGCUCCUGGCUCAACUAGGAGAGGUCGUUCAAAACUGCCGUACUAGAGGACGGUAGAGGGAGGUGGAAUUCCCGGUGUAGUGGUGAAAUGCGUAGAUAUCGGGAGGAACACCAGUGGCGAAGGCGGCCUCCUGGGCCGUUCCUGACGCUCAGACGCGAAAGCUAGGGGAGCAAACGGG
rnacentral:rRNA from 1 species